rfam:Hymenolepis nana genome assembly, scaffold: HNAJ_contig0010320
GUCGCGACGGCCGAGUGGUUAAGGCGAUGGACUUGAAAUCCAUUGAGGUUUCCCCGCGUAGGUUCAAAUCCUGCUCGCGACG